rnacentral:lncRNA from 1 species
AAUUUUAUUUACGGUAUGUUGCUGUCGGACCAGGAAGGCUGCAUUACGGUCAGAAAACUUUCAUGGGAAAACUCGAUCCGGGGCCUAAAGCAGCCGCGUGCUGACGCAGCGUCAUUUUUAACGCCCACAGCCGUAAGCCGGUGUAGAGGCUAAUUUGCUCAGGUUGCAAGCGACUCCCUCCCUCAUGAAGCGUCCUUGGAGGAGCUUUGAGUUGCUUGGUAAAACAGCAAGUGAUGGCGCAUUGGCUGACGGUGUAGCGCAGCAGGCCGUUCACCAGGUGCGCGUUCCAGAACGUCUCGCCCGCCACCCACAUCGGCACGAGCGUCGGCAACACGAAGCAGAAAAGCGUCACCAGAGAGAUGCAGUCACGGGACUUUUUCCACAAGUCGGACGUUCCGGAUGAUUGCAC